rfam:Bombyx mori DNA, contig: Bm_scaf135_contig39354, strain: p50T/Dazao, build 2, whole genome shotgun sequence.
CUAACUUAAAUUUGUAUGGAGCUGAAACGUUUGCCUACGUUUGCCGCUAGGGGCGCUGUUACAACUCCAUACAAGUUAGAGUGA